rnacentral:ncRNA from 1 species
GGCUUACCGUGGAUACCUAGGAACCAAGAGAUGAGGAAGGGCGUAGUAAUCGAUGAAAUACUUUGGGGAGUUGAAAAUAAGCAUAGAUUUGGAGAUUCCUAAAUAGGGAAACGUUUUGAACUGCUGCUAAAUCCAUGGACAGGCAAGAGACAAACUGGCAAACUAAAAUAUCUUAGUAGCAAGAGAAAAAGAAAAAAAGAGCGCUUUUCAUAGUAGCGGAGAGCGAAAUGGGAGCAGCCUAAACCGUGAAAAUGAGGUUGUGGGAUGGAAAUAAAAGUGUAGUUCUACUAGGCAAAGCAACCUGAAUGUUGCACUGUAAAAGGCAAAAGUCCAAUAGCCGAAAGCAUCACUAGCUUACGCUUUGACCCGAGUAUCAUGGGGCAUAUAGAAUCCUGUGUUAAUCAGAAAGGACCACCCUGCAAGGCUAAAUACUCCUGGGUGACUGAUAGCGAAGUAGUAUCGUAAGGGAAGGGUGAAAAUAACCCCCAUCGGGGAGUGAAUUAGAACAUAAAAUUGUAAGCU